UCUGUGAUGUUUUCAAUCAUAUUACCUACAUUAUUUGAAUGAGAAACCAUGUAAACAAAACAUAACUGAGUG
rnacentral:snoRNA from 2 species